rnacentral:lncRNA from 1 species
GUAAUCUGAGGGAUUAUAGUAAAAUUCCCAAGAGGCCUUGGGGAGUGGAUGUAGGUGCUGGGGUGCACCGAACCACUAUAUAUCUUUGUAUUUGUGAUGCCUUAUCUCUUGUAUUUCAUGCCUUACAUUCAUGCUUGAUUGUGUAAUAUCUCUAGCUUUGUUUUCUAUAGAGUUGUAAGUGAUUGUUUAGAAUUUGCUUAGCUUCCACUCCAUUCUUACCAUACACAUAGAUUAAAAUUGAUCAUACAACUAUAAGUUAAUUUUAGAUCAAUUGCACUCUAAAGCCAUAGUAUAAUUGCUCUAGCUUAAUUUUCCACUGCUUUACUUGUAAUUGCCUAGAGCUUAAGUAAAUAACAUCUUAUCAUUCCGCUGCAUUCUAUUCAAAGUAAAAAUUAGAAAACAUAAUUUUUAGAAAACCCAAUUCAUCCCCCCCCUCUUGGGUUGUCACCUUGGGCAACAAGUGGUAUCAGAGCAGGUGCUCUUCUAUUAAUUAUAGUCUUAACUGACUAGAGCUAAAGAUUAUGACAACCCCACAUAACAUAUUAUUUGCCGAGGGACUUUCCAUAAACA